GCAAGUCGAACGAGGUGCUUGAGUAGCAAUACAAGAGUAUCCUAGUGGCGAACGGGUGAGUAACGCGUUGGUGACCUACCCCAAAGUGUGGGAUAACAGUUCGAAAGAACUGCUAAUACCGCAUGUGGUUAUUGGAUUUAGAAACUGAUAACUAAAGGAGCAAUUCGCUUUGGGAGGGACCUGCGUCCCAUCAGCUAGUUGGUGAGGUAAUGGCUCACCAAGGCUACGACGGGUAGGGGACCUGAGAGGGUGACCCCCCACAAUGGAACUGAAACACGGUCCAUACACCUACGGGUGGCAGCAGUAGGGAAUAUUGCACAAUGGGCGAAAGCCUGAUGCAGCAACGCCGCGUGUGCGAUGAAGGCCUUCGGGUCGUAAAGCACUUUUCUGAGAGAUGAGCAAGGACAGUAUCUCAGGAACAAGUCUCGGCUAACUAUGUGCCAGCAGCCGCGGUAAAACGUAGGAGGCAAGCGUUAUCCGGAUUCACUGGGCGUAAAGCGCGUGCAGGCGGUUCGGUAAGUUGGGUAUGAAAUCUCCUGGCUUAACUAGGAGAGGUUAUCCAAUACUACCGGACUUGAGAGUGGUAGAGGAAGAUGGAAUUCCCGGUGUAGUGGUGAAAUGCGUAGAUAUCGGGAGGAACACCAGUGGCGAAAGCGAUCUUCUGGACCAUUUCUGACGCUCAGACGCGAAAGCUAGGGUAGUAAACGGGAUUAGAGACCCCGGUAAUCCUAGCCGUAAACGAUGUAAACUUGGCGUCGGUGGCUUAAACACCAUCGGUGCCGCAGCUAACGCGAUAAGUUUACCGCC
rnacentral:rRNA from 1 species